rnacentral:rRNA from 1 species
AGCGAACGCUGGCGGCAGGCCUAACACAUGCAAGUCGAACGAACCUUUCGGGGUUAGUGGCGGACGGGUGAGUAACACGUGGGAACGUGCCUUUAGGUUCGGAAUAACUCAGGGAAACUUGUGCUAAUACCGAAUGUGCCCUUCGGGGGAAAGAUUAAUCGCCUUUAGAGCGGCCCGCGUCUGAUUAGCUAGUUGGUUGAGGUAAUGGCUCACCAAGGCGACGAUCAGUAGCUGGUCUGAGAGGAUGAUCAGCCACAUUGGGACUGAGACACGGCCCAAACUCCUACGGGAGGCAGCAGUGGGGAAUCUUGCGCAAUGGGCGAAAGCCUGACGCAGCCAUGCCGCGUGAAUGAUGAAGGUCUUAGGAUUGUAAAAUUCUUUCACCGGGGACGAUAAUGACGGUACCCGGAGAAGCAGCCCCGGCUAACUUCGUG